rnacentral:lncRNA from 10 species
CCUAGAAUGAGGAGGAGGAGGAGGAAGGAAAGAUUUUCUAAAACGAGGAAGCUGAUUCGCAGAUUGAGGGCAGAUCUGGGCAAACGAUCUACGGAUCUUUAUGACCCACUUUGUCAACAUGGAUUGGGAAAGGAAAAACUAAUCCUAGAGGUAGUAAAAGUUGAUGCCUAAAUGUAGACAGUGCAAAUGCAGGGAACAUUUGGAGAUUUUAAAACCUUACAGCGUUUACCCCAGAAAACUGCUUACUUUACCCUCUUCAAUUUAAUCCCCAAUCUCCCAAGCAGUUUUUUUGUUUUGUUUUUUGCUUUUGUUUGUUAAGC